GGGAUAAGAAGAAAAAG
rnacentral:miRNA from 1 species